rnacentral:misc_RNA from 1 species
GCGGCGGCCACAGCGAGGGCUGGUGCUUUUCGUGGUGUUCGCGACGACAAAACCGAUUCACCAGAAUAGGGAAAACCAAAAAAAGAAAAAAAGAAGAAAAAUGGGUUCAACAUAAUCCACGAGGAAAGAUUUCACGAAGGAGUCGAUCGAAGAAGAGGAAAAUGCGUAUCAUGUUCGUCAUUUGACCAGGACCAUCAAUCAGCAAUACAAUUUCAGUACAAAGACAAAAAGAAAAGAAAAUCUAAAAACGAACGAAAAAAAUAAUCGAAAAAUUCGCGAAGACAAAUAAAAAAAAAAAAAAAUUAAAAAAAGAAAUAAAAACGGAAAAAUCACUUCCGAGGAAAGUACAAUAAAGAGAAAACGAAAGAGGGAUAAUAAGAAACAAAGACAAAGCGAGGACAAUCUAAAACAAAGUUACCUAAUUAAUUAAAUCAACGUACAUUGAUUAAUAGAUCGAAUCGAUUAUACGUAUUUCUAU